UGGGGAAUAUUGCACAAUGGGCGAAAGCCUGAUGCAGCAACGCCGCGUGAGUGAUGAAGGCCUUCGGGUUGUAAAGCUCUGUCUUCUGGGACGAUAAUGACGGUACCAGAGGAGGAAGCCACGGCUAACUACGUGCCAGCAGCCGCGGUAAUACGUAGGUGGCAAGCGUUGUCCGGAUUUACUGGGCGUAAAGGAUGCGUAGGCGGAUACUUAAGUCAGAUGUGAAAAUCCCGGGCUUAACUUGGGAACUGCAUUUGAAACUGGGUAUCUAGAGUGCGGGAGAGGACAGUGGAAUUCCCAGUGUAGCGGUGAAAUGCGUAGAGAUUAGGAAGAACACCAGUGGCGAAGGCGACUUUCUGGACCGUAACUGACGCUGAGGCAUGAAAGCGUGGGGAGCAAACA
rnacentral:rRNA from 1 species